rnacentral:lncRNA from 1 species
UACAGACAUAACAAAAUUUACCUAGGAUGUUUCUUAUUCUGAACAAAGCAAUAACAGAAAUUGGUACCAAGAGUGAGAUAUGAACCACCAUUUUAAGACCUUUAUUUCAUUAUCAGUAUCUUCUUCAUGAACAUAGUCCAGGAGGCUAUGUGGCAGCAGAGUUGGCUAUGCUCCAGAAGAUGAUACUCUAGGCUAGAGAUCAGCAAAGUUUUCCUAUAAAGGACCAAAUUCACCAACAGUCUCUGAAGGCAAGAGGUCAGCAAGAGAAGCCUGUGUCAG